AGGACGAACGCUGGCGGCGUGCUUAACACAUGCAAGUGGAGCGACGAACCAGGGCUUGCCCUGGGGCAGAGCCGCGAACGGGUGAGUAACACGUGGGUUACCUGCCUUGAUGACCGGGACAACCCGAGGAAACUCGGGCUAAUACCGGAUGUGCCCGCAAGGGGAAAGGAAGCUUCGGCCUCCGCAUCAAGAUGGGCCCGCGGCCCAUUAGCUUGUUGGUGAGGUAACGGCUCACCAAGGCUUCGAUGGGUAGCUGGUCUGAGAGGACGAUCAGCCACACUGGGACUGAGACACGGCCCAGACUCCUACGGGAGGCAGCAGUGGGGAAUCUUGCGCAAUGCGCGAAAGCGUGACGCAGCAACGCCGCGUGGGGGAAGAAGGCUUUCGGGUUGUAAACCCCUUUCAGUUGGGACGAAGCUUCGCCGGUGAAUAGCCGGCUGGAGUGACGGUACCUUCACAAGAAGCACCGGCUAACUACGCGCCAGCAGCCGCGGU
rnacentral:rRNA from 1 species